UGGGGAAUUUUGGACAAUGGGCGCAAGCCUGAUCCAGCAAUGCCGCGUGCAGGAAGAAGGCCUUCGGGUUGUAAAGCUCUUUUGUCAGGGAAGAAACACCGGCUCUAACACAGUCCGGGAAUGACGGUACCUGAAGAAUAAGCACCGGCUAACUACGUGCCAGCAGCCGCGGUAAUACGUAGGGUGCAAGCGUUAAUCGGAAUUACUGGGCGUAAAGCGUGCGCAGGCGGUUAUACAAGACAGGCGUGAAAUCCCCGGGCUUAACCUGGGAAUGGCGCCUGUGACUGUAUAGCUAGAGUGUGUCAGAGGGGGGUAGAAUUCCACGUGUAGCAGUGAAAUGCGUAGAUAUGUGGAGGAAUACCAAUGGCGAAGGCAGCCCCCUGGGAUAACACUGACGCUCAUGCACGAAAGCGUGGGGAGCAAACAGGAUUAGAUACCCUGGUAGUCCACGCCCUAAACGAUGCUGACUAGUUGUUCGGGAUUUACAUCCUGAGUAACGUAGCUAACGCGUGAAGUCAGCCGCCUGGGGAGUACGGUCGCAAGAUUA
rnacentral:rRNA from 1 species